rnacentral:rRNA from 1 species
AUUGAACGCUGGCGGCAUGCUUUACACAUGCAAGUCGAACGGCAGCGCGGGCUUCGGCCUGGCGGCGAGUGGCGAACGGGUGAGUAAUAUAUCGGAACGUACACAAGAGUGGGGGAUAACGUAUCGAAAGUUACGCUAAUACCGCAUACGAUCCACGGAUGAAAGUGGGGGACCGCAGGGCCUCACGCUCCUGGAGCGGCCGAUAUCUGAUUAGCUAGUUGGUAGGGUAAUGGCCUACCAAGGCGACGAUCAGUAGCUGGUCUGAGAGGACGACCAGCCACACUGGAACUGAGACACGGUCCAGACUCCUACGGGAGGCAGCAGUGGGGAAUUUUGGACAAUGGGCGCAAGCCUGAUCCAGCAAUGCCGCGUGAGUGAAGAAGGCCUUCGGGUUGUAAAGCUCUUUUGUCAGGGAAGAAAAGGGGACGGCUAAUAUCCGUCCCUCAUGACGGUACCUGAAGAAUAAGCACCGGCUAACUACGUGCCAGCAGCCGCGGUAAAAC